rnacentral:lncRNA from 1 species
UUAUAAUUUAGAUAGAUUUUCAUUUAUUUAUUUUGGUUAAGAUAUGUUAAAUAAAAUUGUGGAAAAUUAAAAAAUGAUACUCCCUCCGUUCCUAAAAGAUCCAUGUUUUAAAAUUUUCACAUUUUUUAAUAAAAUAUAUUAAAAUUUAGCUAUAAAUGCAUAGUUUUUUGUAAUUUUAUAUCCUAUAUAUUUAAACCAAUAAGAUUUUAAGAAAUGAAAUUAAUGUUCUUGAACUUCACAAUUUAUCAUUAUUAGUUUACAAAAAUUACAUUGAAAUAUAAAGUAUGUAUCUUUUUUAUACAAAAAAUUUCUCUAGAAUUUAAAUCUUUUAGAAACGGAUGGAGUAUAAAAUUGUAUAAUUAUCAAAAAUAAAAUUAAACAGAACUCAUAUAUUAAAGUGAUUGGGGAGUUUUUUCCUUUUCCUUUUCUUUCUAUUUAGAUUUUGUUUUAAUUAGAUUUUGAUUUAAUUUGUUUUUUGUUUUCUUUCUUUUUUGUCAAAAUUCGUUUUAUUUUUUAACUGAUAUUUAAAAGUGAGUUUUAAAUGUUUUUAAUUGAUAAAGUAAGGAUUAGAUUGGGGAUUUUAGCAAAUAUUAUACUAAAAGGACUAAUUUAGGUUGUUUUUAUACUAAGGGGACAAAAAUGUUUUUUUAUUCAAUUUUGGAAAAAUUUCCAAUAAUAAAUAGGGGAUUUUAUCAGAGAUGUCAAUUGUUCAUGAACAUUUUUGCUUACAUAUAAUUCCAAUUGAGGUAACAACAUUUGUUUUUAUUCCAACUUUCUUUAUUUUGAUGACCCCUAAAUUA